rnacentral:rRNA from 1 species
GGGCCCGCACAAGCGGUGGAGCAUGUGGUUUAAUUCGAUGCAACGCGAAGAACCUUACCUACUCUUGACAUCCAGAGAAGCCAGCGGAGACGCAGGUGUGCCUUCGGGAGCUCUGAGACAGGUGCUGCAUGGCUGUCGUCAGCUCGUGUUGUGAAAUGUUGGGUUAAGUCCCGCAACGAGCGCAACCCUUAUCCUUGUUUGCCAGCGAGUAAUGUCGGGAACUCCAGGGAGACUGCCGGUGAUAAACCGGAGGAAGGUGGGGACGACGUCAAGUCAUCAUGGCCCUUACGAGUAGGGCUACACACGUGCUACAAUGGCGCAUACAGAGGGCAGCGAACUUGCGAGAGUGAGCGAAUCCCAAAAAGUGCGUCGUAGUCCGGAUUGGAGUCUGCAACUCGACUCCAUG